rnacentral:tRNA from 1 species
GCCUGGCUGGGGUGGGCGCUGGGGGCGGCGGGUCUUGUGGUGGCCCUCACCGCGCCGGUGAGCGGUCAGUGGUUCGACGCCACCGCCAAACGC